rnacentral:rRNA from 1 species
AUACGAUCUAUGGAUGAAAGCGGGGGAUCGCAAGACCUCGCGCGAUUGGAGCGGCCGAUAUCAGAUUAGCUAGUUGGUGGGGUAAAAGCCCACCAAGGCGACGAUCUGUAGCUGGUCUGAGAGGACGACCAGCCACACUGGAACUGAGACACGGUCCAGACUCCUACGGGAGGCAGCAGUGGGGAAUUUUGGACAAUGGGCGCUGAUCCAGCAAUGCCGCGUGCAGGAUGAAGGCCUUCGGGUUGUAAUUUGUACGGAGCGAAACGGUCUCUUCUAAUAAAGGGGGCUAAUGACGGUACCGUAAGAAUAAGCACCGGCUAACUACGUGCCAGCAGCCGCGGUAAUACGUAGGGUGCGAGCGUUAAUCGGAAUUACUGGGCGUAAAGCGUGCGCAGGCGGUUAUAUAAGACAGAUGUGAAAUCCCCGGGCUCAACCUGGGAACCUGCAUUUGUGACUGUAUAGCUAGAGUACCGGUAGAAGGGGGAUG